rnacentral:hammerhead_ribozyme from 1 species
AUCCAGCUGACGAGUCCCAAAUGGGACGAAACGCACGUCCUGGUU